GUCCUAGACUGUCUUUCAAGUUUACCUAGAGCCCCAGAACCCUCUGGCCUGCUGUGGUGAGGCUUGCCAAGAAAUUUGAGUUCUGACUUAUGGAAUGUGUGAUUCCCCUCUGACUAGGUCUGCUCCAAAUGCACCUUCCAUGUGCAGUCAGUGGCUGAACCUAGCAUGGCUUUGCUUUCUGCUAUGACAGGUCAGCACUGAGUUCAGGGUAAAGUACGCCAGUCACUGCACUCUCUCUCUCUCCGAAGUGCAUAGACUCUGUGCUACACGGCCACUGCCAGGGCUGGAGGAGGAAUGAUGUCGGCAACUCAAGGCUGUCUCUUCAACCCUUUUCAAUGCCUCUGUCAACAACAUGAAGUUAAAACCAGAUUGGAUUUACAGUUUCUGAAGAACUGGAAAUUGUGUUUGCAAUGCCCCAGUUAUUCACUGGUCAGUUCAAA
rnacentral:lncRNA from 1 species